rnacentral:rRNA from 1 species
AGCAGCCGCGGUAAUUCCAGCUCCAAUAGCGUAUAUUAAAGUUGUUGCAGUUAAAAAGCUCGUAGUUGAAUUUCGGGGUUAGUAGGUUGGUCAUGCCUCUGGUAUGUACUGGUCUCACUGAUUCCUCCUUCCUGAUGAGCCGUAAUGCCAUUAAUUUGGUGUUGCGGGGAAUUUGGACUGUUACUUUGAAAAAAUUAGAGUGUUUAAAGCAAGCUAACGCUUGAAUACAUUAGCAUGGAAUAAUGAAAUGGGACGUUCGAUCCUAUUUUGUUGGUUUCUAGGAUUGACGUAAUGAUUAAUAGGGAUAGUUGGGGGCAUUAGUAUUCAAUUGUCAGAGGUGAAAUUCUUGGAUUUAUUGAAGACUAACUACUGCGAAAGCAUUUGCCAAGGAUGUUUUCAUUAAUCAAGAACGAAAGUUAGGGGAUCGAAGACGAUCAGAUACCGUCGUAGUCUUAACCAUAAACUAUGCCGACUAGGGAUCGGAUGAUGUUAAUUUUUUAAUGACUCAUUCGGCGCCUUACG